rnacentral:lncRNA from 1 species
UCAAACACCAUAUAUCAUCUAUUGUCGAUCCAACUACACAGUGUUGCCAUACUUUUAUCUUUUUUUCUUUUUUAUUCGAACGUAAAAUAAUUUGCAAUCGAAUACUUUAUAAUGACGUUUCCCGAAUCUUGUCGUAGUUAUUAUUUUUGUAAACAAUUUUCCUUGUAAUUACAUUCACCAACCAAAAAUUCCUAAACAGUAAUUAUCGAGAAAUUUUGGUUUACCAUAAAUUGGGUAAA